UCCGCGGUAGCUCAGUGGAAGAGCGGUCGGCUGUUAACCGAUUGGUCGUAGGUUCGAAUCCUACCCGCGGAGCCA
rnacentral:tRNA from 1 species